rnacentral:rRNA from 1 species
CCUACGGGUGGCAGCAGUGGGGAAUAUUGGGCAAUGGGCGCAAGCCUGACCCAGCAACGCCGCGUGAAGGAAGAAGGCUUUCGGGUUGUUAACUUCUUUUCUGAGGGACGAAGAAAGUGACGGUACCUCCGGAAUAAGCCACGGCUAACUACGUGCCAGGAGCCGCGGUAAUACGUCGGGGGCGAGCGUUAUCCGGAUUUAUUGGGUGUAAAGGGCGUGUAGGCGGGAAAGCAAGUCAGAUGUGAAAACUCAGGGCUCAACCCUGAGCCUGCAUUUGAAACUGGUUUUCUUGAGUGCUGGAGAGGCAAUCGGAAUUCCGUGUGUAGCGGUGAAAUGCGUAGAUAUACGGAGGAACACCAGUGGCGAAGGCGGAUUGCUGGACAGUAACUGACGCUGAGGCGCGAAAGCGUGGGUAGCAAACAGGAUUAGAUACCCCAGUAGUC